CAGGAACAACGGAAUGGACGUGGCAACCCGACAUGACCCAGAAGAGCCAGGAGGAGCCUCAAGCUUCAGUGGACCCGGAGAAACUGUCAGGUUCCCUCCUGCAGAACCUCCACCUAAAACUAUGACCAGGGCCCAGGUGGGCACCACUGGGAACAGGACUUACAACUUCCAGGGUUGCUCUGCAUCUUGAACGAACCGGUGCACACGGCAAGCGCUCAGCGAGGGUUCCCGUGAUCCUCCACGUUCGCAAGCCUGAGUCCGUGCCGAGUGGAGCAACACGGCCGGGCGCCCCACCCCGUGCCCACACCGAAAGCUCAUCUGUGAAACUCCUCAGUCACCCUGUCCCUCCUGCUAGAGUUACAUGUCCAAGUUAGAUUUUUCUUCUCUGGCAUCCACUUAACAACCCAUAGUUAUUAUUCUUUCUGGCCUAAAAUACAGUGCGGUUUGGGGAAAUUAAUGGACCCAGGCUACUUUCCCUUCUGAUGAGGUGGCAUCCCUAGCAUUUCUGGGAAACGAGGCACUGUUUUCCCAUCCAAAUGUCAUUAUGGACAUGGGACUUCGAGGUGGAUGCCACUUCCAGCCUGGGCUGCCCACCCCGCCCCCCGCCCCCCAAGCCCUCCUGGAGAGGAGAUCCUGGGAGUCCCUGAGUCCCUGCUGUCCCCCCACCCCAGCCCCACCUAAACCAAGAGCAUGAGAUCUCAGGGCUGGAAAAAACCCUCCUCCCCUUGGGUCAGAAAAAGCAUAAUGCUGACAGCAGAGGCAGGCUUCUUGCUUCAUUCUUAGAACCACCAUUUGCGGGAGUUGUCUCCUUAGCACCACUUCCUGGGGAUACAGAGUGGCGAGGGGAACCCGCCGGCCUGCAGCCACACAGGCAGGGGACAGCAAGAGGGAUCAAAACCCAUGCAAGUCCGACAGAGAAACGCUGGCAUUUACCUUGUUGCUCAGAGUCCUCCGCACGAGGCUGGAAGACCGCCUUGCUCUCGCUCUCCCUUCCUCUCCCAUCUCAGCCUGGGCUCCAGGGCGUUUGGAAUCCAACAAACCCAACUCACUUCUCACCAGUGUGACCUUGGCUCCCAAUUCCCGCUCUCUGAGCCUCAGUUUCCUUAUCUGCAGAAUGGGGGGCAAUGCAGAGCCUCCCUCAGGAGCUCGUGGUGAGAAUCUGCCAAGGCGGCAGACGCUCAGAAAAGUGCUUAGCUGGCAGGUCCUCAAUAAAUUAAGCCUAGUAUUCCCACCUGAGCCAGCAAUUCCACUCCUAGGUACAUACCCCAACGAACCGAAACCCGAUGUCCAAACGAAAACCUAUUCACGGGAGCACUAUUCGCAAUAGACAAAGGUGGGGAACCAAUGUCCACCAGCUGAUGAAUGAAUAAAAAAUGUGCUAUAUCCAUCCAAUAGACUUAUUCAGCAAUAAAAAGGAAUGGGGCUCUGAUACAUUUUGCAACGUGGAUGAGCAUGUGAAAGAAGCCAGACACAAAAAGCCACAGGCUGCGUGAUUCCAUGGAUGUGAAAUACCCAGAGGAGGCAAACCCGUAGAGAUGGAAAGUAGGAAGCUCCUGUCCUCCAUCCAAUGGUAAAACCCACCGCAGCUUGACACCUGGGAUCCCUCCGAAUCUCAGAACAGCACACCACGCUAGGACAGCUGCCCCUCCGUGGUGCCAACGAAGAAACAGGCUCAGAAAGUCGAUGGGACUAAUCCAAGCUGACAGUGGCACUUCCUGGAUGCUGCUCCUCGUCCUGGGGCAGAGCCUGGGGCCCGAGGGCUGCAGCUGGCAGAGCUCCAGGCUCGGCUCUAACUGCACAGGCCUGUGAGCGAGACAGGAUCAGACCAGGAAAGCAGAAUGAAGACACCAGGCCGUCGACCAAACUGGCUAGCGACCACGGAGCAUGUACUGCGGUGCCGGACUCCUCUCCUGCAAUGCUCCUGAUGACCCUAAGUGGCAGGGCUGCGACCAUGUCUGUCACACAAAGUGGGGAGCGAGGAUUAGCACAUGCUUCAGUAUCGCUCCUGUUAGGGAGAAUGGGCAGUGAUGGACAGACACCAGACGCACGUACGGGGCACUGAGGACAUAGCAGUGAAGAAAAUAAAGCCAGAACUCUGUACAGCACCGGAGAAGGCCAGAUGCCUGGGUUUAAGUCCCAGCUCUGCCACCUACCAGUUGUGUGACCUUGGGCAAGUAGCUUGACCACUCUGAGCCCCAGUUUUAUUUUCUGAAAAAGUAAUAACAGUGCCCACCUCACGGGGUCCUGAGGAUUUCACACAUUCCUCCACGGCAAGCGCCCAGCACAGAGCCUGGUGCACACUAACUGCUCAACACGUACUGAGUAUUCUUUUUACUCUCCCCUUCUCAGCUGAGUGAGCCCAGACUCAGGGGAGUUAUGACACCUGCCCUGCAUGAAAGACUAGUCAAGGUGGAACUUGACUCCGGAUGUCCAAAGGAUUGAAGGGACCCCUUCCUCAGGAAGCGAUCCGCACUCACUCUAUUCCAGCUCAGAGGGGCCAGCUCCCCAGCCGCUUCCCUGCUCCAGGCUUUUAAUAUCAGUGUUCAAGGCCCUACAAGGACACCCUCAUGCAGUGUCCAGCGGAUCACCUGCGUCCGAACCUCCGCCAGGCUUCCUGACAACCCCCUUGGAGGAUGCUUGGAGCGGACCAGGCCAAGGUUACCUAGACCGGCCUCAAUUCCCCUCCACCCCUGCCCUCUCUCAUCUCAACCUCCAGGAGGAUGAUUUAUAUGGCACUGCGGUAAGAACAUUUGAUUCCUCAGCUCAGCCUGUCUUCCUGUCCCCCACCCCUCCCAGCUCCUGGGCCGUGAGCGGUCCAGGUACUUGCCCAGGGCCACAUGGCAGGGAGGGACAGCCAGGCUCGGGACCUGGUGCUGCCUGAGUCCACUCAGAACCUCCAGGGCUGGUUCCUGCCACAGGGCCAGGCCCCCUGAGAAGGUGGGCAGAAGAGUGGCCUCUAGGGACAGGAGGCCUGGGUCUGAGCCCAGCUCUGCCCCUUAAAUCCACGUGACUGCAGGCAAGAGUGAGCAUUUCAGAUCUCUAGGUCUCGCCUGCAAAAUGGCCCUAAGCCCAGGAGCUACCCCUGGGGUCGUGGCGAAGCUCCCAGAAGCUCGGGUGAGCUGAAGCCCACAACUAGCACUUAAUAAAAAGCCGUGCGGCAUGGCUCCGGGGCCCCAGCCUGGCCAGCGUGGCCUGGGAUGCCCACGGCGGUGAGCACUCUGCCCAGAUUAACUCACCAUCUUCGAGACGGUGCGGAGGGAGCGGAGUGCUCCUGUUACUACCUGUUUUACUGAGGAAGAAGCACAGAGAGACCUGCCUUGCCUGAGGUCACACAGCCGAGGAGGGGGAGGAGGGCAGGGGUCAGAACACACGGGCCAGGCUGGUUCCAGAGCCCACCUCUUAACCACUCUCCUGCGCCCCGCACGUAGUCGAGGCUUAUUGCUGCCCCUCCUGUUGGGAUCUGCCCAGCUUUCUGGAGUUAGGGUUCUACUCUGAGUUGGGGAGUAGGGUAGGCCCAAACUUCCCAGUGUCCCAUCCCACAUGGCCACCCUGUUGUGACCCUGCUGGAGAAACUGAGGCACAGAGAGUAUGUGCAGUGCCCAAGGUUGCACAGUCCCAGGGGUAGCUGUGGUUUCUCAGGGCAGUGUCCUCGCCCAGCUGGCAUCUCCUGGACCAGCCCCCAACACACACACACACACACACACACACACACACACUCCCCUGUGGGGCUGGGGCUGCUCCCCCCGCCCCGCCCCAAGGCUCCAUGCUGGCUGCAGGACAUUUGUUACUGUGUCAGUUCCAGCCCCCACCCUGAUGGGGGGCCAGCAGGCAGGGGGCUUCCUGGCGGCUCUGGGAGGGAGGAAUGCGCCCCCACCCCCAGCCCCAUAUGGCCUCCAUCCCGGCCCAUCUGCUUCCCAUUGCCUGACGCGGCCACUGCGGGGCCGACGGAGCCCGCCCGCAGGGGUGUGAAGUUUAUGUGGCCAGGCCUGGAGCCGGCGGUGACAGGGCCACACACGCUCACACAGACACACAUCGGACACCCCCCACCAGCCCUGAUGUGAGUGUGCAUACACAAUCCACCCUUCCAUCUGCCCCCAAAUCCACCCACGCUCUCACACUCACACCAGCACCAAAGACAUCCAACCUGAACACAGAUCUCCGUCAGAACGCACCCUGCAACCAACCCUUGACUGACACACACACACACAUACACACAUACACUCAACAAUCCAUUCCCAUAAUGGACCCCCCACACACAAACCCACUUACAAAUGUACACACAGACUCACACAUCCAAUCACACUAGGCUCCUCCACCGACGUGCAAACAGCUGCACCAUCCUGAAUCGUGCCCCCUCAACACACACACACACACACACCCCUGCCCCCACCAGAUGACACAAACUCGAAACAGUGACUUAUACACAGGCCCUGGUCCCAGAGAGGCUGCCAGAUACAGAGUGGAUGCUCCCGUCUCUCAGAGCCCCAUUCCCACCCCCGCAUCUCCUGCAGCCCCCAAAACUGGGAGCUGCUCUCCAGGGCCCAGGCUCCUCUGCCAGCCAUCUGCCACUUGCAACCCUGGCCCCUUCCCUCCCAGAGGCCAAGAGCAAAAGGCCGAGGAGCCCUGGGGGACCGGCAGUCACUGCUGAUGUGGACUCAGACCCAAAGGAUUUUGCAUCCAGUGCCUUCCUUAGAACACCUGAGGGUGUCCCUCCUGACUUACCUGGGCUCCUGGGCACCUAGACUAUUUUGGAGAGACCUCGUCACACGGCACCAGGGCCCCACAGGGCAGUUCAGGGACCCAUGAACUUGCACUGGGGAAGGAAGGUACAUCUUGAUUUCCAGUAACCUCCAGCUGAAAUCUGG